rnacentral:rRNA from 1 species
UGGGGAAUAUUGGGCAAUGGGCGCAAGCCUGACCCAGCAACGCCGCGUGAAGGAAGAAGGCUUUCGGGUUGUAAACUUCUUUCUCAGGGACGAAGAAAGUGACGGUACCUGAGGAAUAAGCCACGGCUAACUACGUGCC